CCCGUCUCUCCUAAAAAUACAAAAAUUAGCUGGGGGCUGGUCUGAAGGCAGUGAGUUAUCUUAAUUGAUUGUUCAUGGUCAGUUACAGAUCAAACUCCUUGUUCCACUCUUUCCCCAACCCUUCUCAAUACUGUACUUGACUAUCCUUAAAAAAAA